AGGUGCUGAGUGAUGAAAUUUAUAAGCACUUUCAGGCACACUGAGUGAGUACUGCUGAAUCAGGAGAAUCACAGUCUGGUCUCAACAAUGUUUCUUUUAACCAACAACUUAAUCUUUUAAGCCUCACAUUAGCUAAAAGGGCUUUUACAGGCCCUUGGUAAAACCCAGCUGUUACUUUCAGAGAUGCUGUAAGUACCAGAGCAGAGGACAUGGUCUCAGCUCUCAGUUCAGGCAUGUUUCCUUGCAUCAUUCCAGAAUGCUGACUGCUUACUUUUGGGUCAUAAGAGGCAAAUUCAUCCCUAGAAUGAGUCAGUGGAUUUCCACUAGAGCUGACAGCUCCCUGCUCGGGGAUGCUCCCAUACGUUGCAGAAAUCCUCCUGUGGAGACAACAAGGCAGUGGAGCAGCACACACAUGCUCAGAGGGAAUCACAGUGCGGACUGUCCAGUGAUGAUGGACAUGCCCAGAACUGGCACACACAUUUAAACAGAUGAUAUUUUGGCCAUCACUGGCUGAAGCUGGAUUCUGCUCUCAGUUACGGCAGCUGAAUAUGGAAUGUUCAUUUAGAUGCCAAUGGCAUAACUUUGGUUUUGUUCCUGAGCAUUGAGCCAAUCCAUGGCCCUCAGUUCUCCCUCCUUUACAUUCAAACUAACCUUCUACUGAGCACAUACUUUCAUCUGUAUCUCUCUUUUCAUCUCUUCAGCAGAAGUAACAACUUAGAUGCAGUAAUCAAGAAGCAGAUAGAUCCAGAGAAGAGAGCAUUUUGGAUUGAAGUCUCUAAACCCAUCAAAACUGCCAUUGUAAAUCAAACUGACAGUCAAUUACAAGAUGAACUACGCAUUUGAACAAGUCCAGCUUAGAAAGCCCAGCCAUCUCUAAUAUACUUAUGGACCUGCAAAUGCUCUUCAUUUGCAGGACAGAGGGGUGACCACCGCGUGCGAUCA
rnacentral:lncRNA from 1 species